rnacentral:rRNA from 1 species
UUAUUGGGUCUAAAACAUCCGUAGCGUGCCUUGUAAGUCGCUUGUGAAAUUCUAUCUCUCAAAGAUGGAGCGAGCAAGUGAUACUGUAAGGCUAGAGACUGGUGGACGUGAGGAGUACGUUCAAGGUAGUGGUAAAAUACGUUAAUCUUGAAUGGACUAACAACAGCGAAGGCACCUCACGAUGACAGUUCUGACAGUGAGGGAUGAAGGCUAGGAUCGCGAAACGGAUUAGAUACCCGUGUAGUCCUAGCAGUAAACACUGCGCACUAAACCUUGUGACCUCCUCGAGAGGUUGCAGGGCUGUAGGGAAGCCGAAGAGUGCGCUACCUGGGAAGUAUAGCCGCAAGGUCGAAACUUAAAGGAAUUGGCGGGGGGGCACUACAACGGGUGACGCGUGCGGUUCAAUUAGAUUCCACACCGUGAACCUCACCAGGACCGACAGCAGAAUGAAGGUCAGUCUUAAGGGCUUACCUGACACGCUGAGAGGAGAUGCAUGGCCGACGUCAGCCUGUGUCGUGAGAUGACCUGUUAAAUCAGGUAACAGGCGAGACCCGUAUGUAUAGUUGCUAUCUGGAUAAGAUGCACUCUAUACAGACUGCUCUGGUAACAGAGAGGAAGGUGCGGGCUACGUUAGGUGAGUACGUCCCGAAUGCCCUGGGCAACACGCGCGCGGCAAUGCUACAUACAAUGAGAUGCAACUCUGAAAAGAGGAGCUAAUCCCUUAAAGUGUAGCUUAGUUCAGAUUGAGGCUUGCAACCCAGCCUCAUGACGAUGGAAUCCGUAGUAAUCGU